UACGUAGGGUGCGAGCGUUAAUCGGAAUUACUGGGCGUAAAGCGUGCGCAGGCGGUUCCAUAAGACAGAUGUGAAAUCCCCGGGCUUAACCUGGGAACUGCGUUUGUGACUGUGGGACUCGAGUGUGGCAGAGGGGGGUGGAAUUCCGACGUGUAGCAGUGAAAUGCGUAGAGAUGUGGAGGAACACCGAUGGCGAAGGCAGCCCCUGGGUCAACCACUGACGCUCAUGCACGAAAGC
rnacentral:rRNA from 1 species